CCUGCUCCUAAAGGUGUUGCAGGUGUGGCUGCUGUGUGACAUGUGCAUCAGUAGGAGACAGAGAGGAGAGAGGCUAUGCCUGUGCUCAGUGUUCUGACCUAAAAACAUAUGAAUGAUUAAGUAGACUAGCAUU
ensembl:snoRNA Gm24957 predicted gene, 24957